rnacentral:rRNA from 1 species
CCGUAUAACAAUACUCCGAGAACUGAAAGGCUUUUUGAAGUCUUCGGAUGGAUAGAAGAACCCCUGAUGCCGUCGAGCCAAGAAAAGUUUCUAAGUUUAGCUAAUGUUGCCCGUACCGUAAACCGACACAGGUGGGUGGGAUGAGUAUUCUAAGGCGCGUGGAAGAACUCUCUUUAAGGAACUCUGCAAAAUAGCACCGUAUCUUCGGUAUAAGGUGUGGUUCGCUUCGUACUAGGAUUUACUCCGAAAGCGAAGAAACUUACAACAAAGAGUCCCUCCCGACUGUUUACCAAAAACACAGCACUCUGCUAACUCGUAAGAGGAUGUAUAGGGUGUGACGCCUGCCCGGUGCUCGAAGGUUAAUUGAUGGGGUUAGCAUUAGCGAAGCUCUUGAUCGAAGCCCGAGUAAACGGCGGCCGUAACUAUAACGGUCCUAAGGUAGCGAAAUUCCUUGUCGGUUAAAUACCGACCUGCAUGAAUGGCGUAACGAGAUGGGAGCUGUCUCAAAGAGGGAUCCAGUGAAAUUGUAGUGGAGGUGAAAAUUCCUCCUACCCGCGGCAAGACGGAAAGACCCCGUGGACCUUUACUACAGCUUGACACUGCUACUUGGAUAAGAAUGUGCAGGAUAGGUGGGAGGCUUUGAGUAUAUGACGCCAGUUGUAUAUGAGCCAUUGUUGAGAUACCACUCUUUCUUAUUUGGGUAGCUAACCAGCUUGAGUUAUCCUCAAGUGGGACAAUGUCUGGUGGGUAGUUUGACUGGGGCGGUCGCCUCCCAAAUAAUAACGGAGGCUUACAAAGGUUGGCUCAGAACGGUUGGAAAUCGUUCGUAGAGUAUAAAGGUAUAAGCCAGCUUAACUGCAAGACAUACAAGUCAAGCAGAGACGAAAGUCGGUCUUAGUGAUCCGGUGGUUCUGUGUGGAAGGGCCAUCGCUCAAAGGAUAAAAGGUACCCCGGGGAUAACAGGCUGAUCUCCCCCAAGAGCUCACAUCGACGGGGAGGUUUGGCACCUCGAUGUCGGCUCAUCGCAUCCUGGGGCUGGAGCAGGUCCCAAGGGUAUGGCUGUUCGCCAUUUAAAGCGGUACGCGAGCUGGGUUCAGAACGUCGUGAGACAGUUCGGUCCCUAUCUGCCGUGGGCGUAAGAAGAUUGAAGAGAUUUGACCCUAGUACGAGAGGACCGGGUUGAACAAACCACUGGUGUAGCUGUUGUUCUGCCAAGAGCAUCGCAGCGUAGCUAAGUUUGGAAAGGAUAAACGCUGAAAGCAUCUAAGCGUGAAGCCAACUCUAAGAUGAAUCUUCUCUAAGCUCUCUAGAAGACUACUAGUUUGAUAGGCUGGGUGUGUAAUGGAUGAAAGUCCUUUAGCUGACCAGUACUAAUAGAGCGUUUGGCUUAUCUUUAAUAAAGCAU